rnacentral:rRNA from 1 species
CCUACGGGAGGCAGCAGUGGGGAAUAUUGCACAAUGGGCGAAAGCCUGAUGCAGCGACGCCGCGUGAGGGAUGACGGCCUUCGGGUUGUAAACCUCUUUCAGCAGGGAAGAAGCGAAAGUGACGGUACCUGCAGAAGAAGCGCCGGCUAACUACGUGCCAGCAGCCGCGGUAAUACGUAGGGCGCAAGCGUUGUCCGGAAUUAUUGGGCGUAAAGAGCUCGUAGGCGGCUUGUCACGUCGGUUGUGAAAGCCCGGGGCUUAACCCCGGGUCUGCAGUCGAUACGGGCAGGCUAGAGUGUGGUAGGGGAGAUCGGAAUUCCUGGUGUAGCGGUGAAAUGCGCAGAUAUCAGGAGGAACACCGGUGGCGAAGGCGGAUCUCUGGGCCAUUACUGACGCUGAGGAGCGAAAGCGUGGGGAGCGAACAGGAUUAGAUACCCUGGUAGUCCACGCCGUAAACGGUGGGAACUAGGUGUUGGCGACAUUCCACGUCGUCGGUGCCGCAGCUAACGCAUUAAGUUCCCCGCCUGGGGAGUACGGCCGCAAGGCUAAAACUCAAAGGAAUUGACGGCNGAGAGNGCGACGACGACACGAGGAGAGG